rnacentral:rRNA from 1 species
CCCGCCAAUUCCUUUAAGUUUCUCUGGUUGACCCUGCCAGAGGUUACUGCUAUCGAGGUUCGACUAAGCCAUGCGAGUCGAAUGUAGCAAUACAUGGCGUACUGCUCAGUAACACGUGGACAACCUACCCUUAGGUCGGGGAUAAACCCGGGAAACUGGGUAUAAUACCCGAUAGUGCUCGACUGCUGGAAUGCAUCGAGUACUAAAGCUCCGGCGCCUAAGGAUGGGUCUGCGGCCUAUCAGGUAGUAGUGGGUGUAGCGUACCUACUAGCCUACGACGGGUACGGGUUGUGAGAGCAAGAGCCCGGAGAUGGAUUCUGAGACACGAAUCCAGGCCCUACGGGGUGCAGCAGGCGCGAAAACUUUACAAUGCUGGAAACAGCGAUAAGGGGACCUCGAGUGCCAGGUUACAAAUCUGGCUGUCGUGAUGCCUAAAAAGCAUUGCAUAGCAAGGGCCGGGCAAGACCGGUGCCAGCCGCCGCGGUAACACCGGCGGCUCGAGUGGUAACCGUUAUUAUUGGGUCUAAAGGGUCAGUAGCCGGCCGGAUAAGUCUCUUGGGAAAUCUGGCAGCUUAACUGUCAGGCUUUCAGGGGAUACUGUCUGGCUCGAGGCCGGGAGAGGUGAGAGGUACUUCAGGGGUAGGGGUGAAAUCUUGUAAUCCUUGAAGGACCACCAGUGGCGAAGGCGUCUCACCAGAACGGACCUGACGGCAAGGGACGAAAGCUAGGGGCACGAACCGGAUUAGAUACCCGGGUAGUCCUAGCCGUAAACGAUACUCGCUAGGUGUCGGCCACGGUGCGACCGUUGUCGGUGCCGUAGGGAAGCCGUGAAGCGAGCCACCUGGGAAGUACGGCCGCAAGGCUGAAACUUAAAGGAAUUGGCGGG